UCGUUUCGAAAGUACUGCUGUUGAAGCGC
rnacentral:piRNA from 1 species